rnacentral:rRNA from 1 species
UUUCCUUCAAAUCCAAAAAAUUUCUCUUUUUUAUACAUAGGUCGUCGAUUCGGCAUUGGUUAAAAAAGGGCAGGGUGCCCCCUUUUUUUUUCUAGUAAAUAGUUCAAACCAUUUUAUCGAUAUGAGUGUUCUAUAUCAGAUAAAUUUUACAUUAGCUAUUUCCCGUUUAAAUUCGGUACUAAUACUAAUAUAGUUGUAGAAAGAGUACCUCUUUUUGCCUGGACUUCAAGCAGUUUAGCUUUAACCGUGUUAAUGGUCUCACAUUCUUGGUUUAUAGAGAAUCAAAGUUGAUUUACCAAUGAGUCGCGAAAUGCUAUGGUUCUUCCAUAUGAUUUCUGAAUUUAUUCAGAAGUAAUUCGUCGAGAUCGUGCACCCUUUUCUUAUUUAUCC